rnacentral:rRNA from 1 species
GGGAUUAGUGGCGAACGGGUGAGUAACACGUGAGUAACCUGCCCUUAACUCUGGGAUAAGCCUGGGAAACUGGGUCUAAUACCGGAUAUGACUCCUCAUCGCAUGGUGGGGGGUGGAAAGCUUUUGUGGUUUUGGAUGGACUCGCGGCCUAUCAGCUUGUUGGUGAGGUAAUGGCUCACCAAGGCGACGACGGGUAGCCGGCCUGAGAGGGUGACCGGCCACACUGGGACUGAGACACGGCCCAGACUCCUACGGGAGGCAGCAGUGGGGAAUAUUGCACAAUGGGCGCAAGCCUGAUGCAGCGACGCCGCGUGAGGGAUGACGGCCUUCGGGUUGUAAACCUCUUUCAGUAGGGAAGAAGCGAAAGUGACGGUACCUGCAGAAGAAGCGCCGGCUAACUACGUGCCAGCAGCCGCGGUAAUACGUAGGGCGCAAGCGUUAUCCGGAAUUAUUGGGCGUAAAGAGCUCGUAGGCGGUUUGUCGCGUCUGCCGUGAAAGUCCGGGGCUCAACUCCGGAUCUGCGGUGGGUACGGGCAGACUAGAGUGAUGUAGGGGAGACUGGAAUUCCUGGUGUAGCGGUGAAAUGCGCAGAUAUCAGGAGGAACACCGAUGGCGAAGGCAGGUCUCUGGGCAUUAACUGACGCUGAGGAGCGAAAGCAUGGGGAGCGAACAGGAUUAGAUACCCUGGUAGUCCAUGCCGUAAACGUUGGGCACUAGGUGUGGGGGACAUUCCACGUUUUCCGCGCCGUAGCUAACGCAUUAAGUGCCCCGCCUGGGGAGUACGGCCGCAAGGCUAAAACUCAAAGGAAUUGACGGGGGCCCCGCACAAGCGGCGGAGCAUGCGGAUUAUUUUCUAUAAACCCGAAGAACCUUUACCAAGGUUUGACUUGGACCGGCACCGGCACAAAAAUGUGGUUUCCCCUUUGGGGCCGUU